rnacentral:rRNA from 1 species
AGGGUUCGAUCCUGGCUCAGAUUGAACGCUGGCGGGAUGUUUACACAUGCAAGUCGAAUGGCGUUAACACUUCGGUCUGCGGCGGAGCGUGGCGAAAACGGGUGAGUAAAGGACGGAACGUGCCUAGUAGCGGGGAUAACUACGCGAAAGCGUAGCUAAUUACCGCAUACGCCCUUCGGGGGAAAGCGGGGACCUUCGGGCCUCGCACUAUUAGAGCGGCCGAUAUCGGAUUAGCGAAGUUGGUGGGGUAACGGCUCACCAAGGCGACGAUCCGUAGCUGGUUUGAGAGGACGACCAGCCACACUGGGACCGAGGCACGGCCCAGACUCCUCGAGCGGGAGGCAGUGGGGAAUUUUGACAAUGGGGGAAACCCUGAUCCAGCCAUCCCGCGCAGGGCAUGAAGCGCCUUGGCUGUAAAGCACUUUUGGCAGGGAGAGCUAGAAACGGCACGGGAUAAUACCUCGUGCAACUGACGGUACUCUGCAGAAUAAGCACCGGCUAACUACGUGCCAGCAGCCGCGGUAAUACGUAGGGUGCAAGCGUUAAUCGAAUUACUGGGCGUAAAAGCAAGUGCAGGCGGUUCGGAAAGAAAGAUGUGAAAUCCCAGAGCUUAACUUUGGAACUGCAUUUUUAACUACCGAGCUAGAGUGUCAGAGGGAGGUGGAAUUCCGCGUGUAGCAGUGAAAUGCGUAGAUAUGCGGAGGAACACCGAUGGCGAAGCAGCCUCCCUGGGAUAACACUGACGCUCAUGCACGAGCGGGGAGCACAGGAUUAGAUACUCUGGUAGUCCACGCCCUAAACGAUGUCAACUAGCUGUUGGGGCCUUCGGGCCUUGGUAGCGCAGCUAACGCGCAGUGAAGUUGACCGCCUGGGGAGUACGGUCGCAAGAUUAAAACUCAAAGGAAUUGACGGGGACCCGCACAAGCGGUGGAUGAUGUGGAUUAAUUCGAUGCAACGCGAAAAACCUUACCUACCCUUGACAUGUCUAAAUCCUGAAGAGAUUUGGGAGGCUCGCAAGAGGAACCGGAACACAGGCGCCGCAUGGCUGUCGUCAGCUCGUGUCGAGAUGUUGGGUUAAGUCCCGCAACGAGCGCAACCUGUCAUUAGUUGCUACGAAAGGGCACCUAAUGAGAUCACGGUGACAACCGGAGGAAGGUGAUGAUGUCAAGUCCUCAUGGCUCCUAUGGGUAGGGCUUCACACGUCAUACAAUGGUCGGGACAGAGGGUCGCCAACCCGGCGAGGGGGAGCCAAUCCAGAAACCCGAUCGUAGUCCGGAUCGCAGUCUGCAACUCGACUGCGUGAAGUCGUGGGAAUCGCUAGUAAUCGCGGAUCAGCAUGUGUCGGUGAAUACGUUCCCGGGUCUUACACACCGCCCGUCACACCAUGGGAGUGGGUUUUACCAGAAGUAGUUAGCCUAACCGUAAGGAGGGCGAUUACCACGGUAGGAUUCAUGACUGGGGUGAAGUCGUAACAAGGUAG